CUUUUAGAUUCAAAAUCUGAGGUGAAAGCAAUCAAGUUCUUACUGUAAAAUUUCAUCCCGCAGCCAGUAUCGGCAAGUUUUUGUGUGUGUGUGUGCGUCUUGUUUUUUGUUCUGAUGAUCUUAUCUCUCCUCUCUAUGAUAUAGCUGCCCCUACUCCACACCACCCAGUGAUCCAUGUUGAAAGUCCUGAAGAAAUUGACACUAGGAUAUUAUAAUCAUCCUAUGGUGGUCUCUCAAGAACAAGUUAAUCUCCAGACCCACCACUCACCAGUGAAUUUUAAAGAAGAAAAACAACGCAUCUAGAGGAGCCAAAGAUGGAGAAACCAAUCUAAUUAAUUCAUCACCAAGGCCAAAGAUAUAUAAAUCUUAUCAUUUGAUCUGUCAACCAACACUAUGAAUUAUUCAACUCCCUGAAUCUCAAGAAGGCAGGCAUAAAGAAAGUGGUUAGAAAGCAGCUGGCUGAGCAGAAGAAGGCACUCAAUAGAUCAAAGCAAAACAAGCCCCCAAGGCUGAAAAAACUUUGGGGGUGGAUCCCUGGGACAAGGAAUGAGUCCAAGAAAGACUCCAGGAUCAUGUGUCACAAGGGGGCCCAUCACCACCACUUCUGCUAAGAUGGUUUGAAUAGGACUUUUAUACUCCCCCUUUUCACACACCCUGGUUUCUGAGCAAGAGUUCUUCCUGCAAAUAUAGCGUGGUGUGUUCCCUUUUAAAACUGAGCUUUCCAAGAGUUCCAUGUCCUCAACUAGUCCCCACAAAUCGUCUACAGAGGCAGGAAAGUCUGCUGUUUUAUAGAGAAUAGCAUUUAAGCAGUAGCCCACAGCCUGGCACAGAGUAUGUGCUCAAAGAGUAUUGACUGACUGGUGAACAGAAGAGAGCAUGAAAGUGGGGUGAGGACUCUAACAGAAUGGGGAAGAGCCUACUAGAUUCCCAUUAAGAAGAAGGUUAAUCCUAUCCUGAAACACAAUCCUAAUGUGAGAUUUUUUGGGGGCACCCCAGGUAAGUGUGGCCUUAGUCUCCCUAAUUUACAAAGAAUCCCAGCAUCCUCUAGGCUGUCCUGGGAUAAAGGCUUUAAGCAAAUCUAUAAUAUAACCAAUUUUCUAAAGCUUGGAACCAAGCACAGGCAAAAGUGUAGGUAAAAUAUCAGCUAUUUGGAGGAUUUCUGUUUCUUCCAUCUGUCUUAGCAUGAAUCUCUCUAUAGGUCUGGAUAGUAGAGAAAGGGGGUGGGAGCACCAACUGAUGAACAGCAGCUUUGAGGACUUUGGCUUCUCAGGAAAUGGGCAAGGGAAGAGCAAGUGUAGUUAAAAAAACAACAAUCUCUUAAGUCCAAAGAAGAUUCUUGGACUCAAGGCUCUAGUUUUCUUUCAUACCAAAAUCAAGGGCAUUUACUUUUUCACAGACAACAGAGAGUGCUGCCUUUAACUCUGGAAUAAGAUUGGCAGUAAAUCAUCAAUAACAACCAUCAGUCUCUUGGUGCCAUGCCUCCUACCACCUCCAUCCAAAAAUAUUUUUUAAAACAAUUGCUGUUAGCUAGGUCUUUGUCUUGGACUAGGAAAAAGCAAGUGUACACCAAGUAAGAAUGAGAAGUGCAUUAGCAAAGCUCUGUGGGGUCUUCUGGUCCUUUUAGUUAGAGACGCAAAGGGUCACAGCUUGGGUGCAGGAUGGAAGCCAGAGGUAGGGAUAUUUUGUUGAUUGCUGCUUCUCUUGAUUUUAUGCUCAAAAACACCAAUUAAAUAUGCAAGGAGUCUACUUAAUACAGAUGCAUUCACUCUCCAAGCCCCAAAUCAAUGAGUUGGGACUUCAGGAUUGAAAGAGGAUUCUGAAGAGCUGAAUUCAUGAGUUUUCUUAUCUCAGCCAUGCCAGACCCUGGAUGGAGUUCACUGUACUCUACAGCUCUGGUUUGUUUGCUUCUUUCUUUUUUAAGGGAGCCAACACCAGACCCAGCAGGAGUCACAGAGAAAAGAGCCACCAGAUCAAGAUCAAGCAAUCCCUUCUUUUCACCAUCCCCCUCCACCAACCUUACAAGCUGUGAGCUGCUUGACAACUCCAUCAAAUAAAAUUUAAAGACAGA
rnacentral:lncRNA from 10 species